UAAGGUAGCUAUACUGAGAAUGCUCCACCUGUUCCCAUUCCGAACACAGUAGUGAAAUUUCUCAAGGCCCAUGAUAGUCCUAUUUAGGGCGAAAGUAGGUAGCUGCCCUAC
rnacentral:rRNA from 1 species